GAAUGCACCUGAUCUCGUCUGAUCUUGGAAGUUAAAC
rnacentral:rRNA from 1 species